rnacentral:rRNA from 1 species
UACGUAGGUGGCAAGCGUUGUCCGGAUUUAUUGGGUUUAAAGGGUGCGUAGGCGGCUUUGUAAGUCAGUGGUGAAAUAUGGCAGCUCAACUGUCAAGGUGCCAUUGAUACUGCAGAGCUUGAGUACAGAUGAGGUAGGCGGAAUUGACGGUGUAGCGGUGAAAUGCUUAGAUAUCGUCAAGAACACCUAUAGCGAAGGCAGCUUACUAAGCUGUAACUGACGCUGAGGCACGAAAGUGUGGGGAUCAAACAGG